rnacentral:tRNA from 1 species
GCCUGGGUGGCUCAGUCGGUUGAGCGUCCGACUUCGGCUCAGGUCACGAUCUCACGGUUUGUGGGUUUGAGCCCCGCAUCAGGCU